GUGGGCAAGUUGCAUCGGGGGGCUGGACCUCUCUAUAGACAUGAGAUGUUGUAGGGUAAAGGUGGGGUUGGGCACCAAUAACUGUUAGGUGAGGACCCAAUGACGACUUUAUUCCUACGAUUAUACGGUGGGUCUGACUUAACUAAGAAAUGGGACCAAUAACUGUUAGGUGAGGUCUUCAUGGCUUAGAGACCGAGUUGCACUACAACAUGCUUGAGUAGCAUUGUACAAGAGUUGUACACUCAUCCAUCUAUGUGUCACCAAUAACUGUUAGGUGAGGUGCCAUGUAGAUCGAUGGGACCGCAGUACCCACUAGAAACCCUAGUCGUGUGGGAUUUCCGUUUUCCUACCAGGGGAGUGUGAGGGAUUUGAGAAAAUAGUGG
rnacentral:lncRNA from 1 species